AGCGAACGCUGGCGGCAGGCUUAACACAUGCAAGUCGAGCGGACACUUCGGUGUCAGCGGCAGACGGGUGAGUAACACGUGGGAACGUACCCUUCGGUUCGGAAUAACGCUGGGAAACUAGCGCUAAUACCGGAUACGCCCUUUUGGGGAAAGGUUUACUGCCGAAGGAUCGGCCCGCGUCUGAUUCGCUGGUUGGUGGGGUAAUGGCAUACUAAGGCGAGGAUCAGUAGCUGGUCUGAGAGGAUGAUCAGCCACGCUGGGAAUGAGACACGGCCCAGACUCCUACGGGAGGCAGCAGUGGGGAAUAUUGGACAAUGGGCGCAAGCCUGAUCCAGCCAUGCCGCGUGAGUGAUGAAGGCCUUAGGGUUGUAAAGCUCUUUUGUCCGGGACGAUAAUGACGGUACCGGAAGAAUAAGCCCCGGCUAACUUCGUG
rnacentral:rRNA from 1 species